rnacentral:rRNA from 1 species
GACGAACGCUGGCGGCGCGCCUAACACAUGCAAGUCGAACGGAGCUGAGAGAAGCUUGCUUUUCUUAGCUUAGUGGCGAACGGGUGAGUAACGCGUGAGUAACCUGCCCUGGAGUGGGGGACAACAGUUGGAAACGACUGCUAAUACCGCAUAAGCCCACGAUCCGGCAUCGGCUUGAGGGAAAAGGAUUUAUUCGCUUCAGGAUGGACUCGCGUCCAAUUAGCUAGUUGGUGAGGUAACGGCCCACCAAGGCGACGAUUGGUAGCCGGACUGAGAGGUUGAACGGCCACAUUGGGACUGAGACACGGCCCAGACUCCUACGGGAGGCAGCAGUGGGGGAUAUUGCACAAUGGGGGAAACCCUGAUGCAGCGACGCCGCGUGGAGGAAGAAGGUUUUCGGAUUGUAAACUCCUGUCGUUAGGGACGAUAAUGACGGUACCUAACAAGAAAGCACCGGCUAACUACGUG